rnacentral:misc_RNA from 1 species
CCAAUAGCGUAUAUUAAAGUUGUUGCAGUUAAAAAGCUCGUAGUUGAAUUUCGGGAUUGACGUGACGGUCAUGCCUUAAGGGGUAUGAACUGUUGCUGUUGAUUUCUCACCUUCUGGAGAAACUUGAUGUCCUUUAUUGGGUGUCUUGCGGAUCCAGGACCUUUACCUUGAAAAAAUUAGAGUGUUUAAAGCAGGCAUUUUUGCUCGAAUACAUUAGCAUGGAUUAAUAGAAUAGGACGGCAUGGUUCUAUUUUGUUGGUUUCUAGGAUCACCGUAAUGAUUAAUAGGGAUAGUUGGGGGCAUUAGUAUUCAAUUGUCAGAGGUGAAAUUCUUGGAUUUAUUGAAGACUAACUACUGCGAAAGCAUUUGCCAAGGAUGUUUUCAUUAAUCAAGAACGAAAGUUAGGGGAUCGAAGACGAUCAGAUACCGUCGUAGUCUUAACCAUAAACUAUGCCGACUAGGAAUCAGACGAUGUUAAUUUUUUAAUGACUCGUUUGGCACCUUACG